UGCAAGCUAGAACGUUAAACCUGCGAGAAGAACGACUAAAUUAGAUUUCCAGUGGUUAAAAUGUCAACAAAAAGAAUUAACGAGAGAAGGAAAAGAAGAGGAAACUUGAUUGGAUACUUUUCAAGUCCAAACAUUUCUCCCGCAAAUCACCAUUGCCUGCUCGUUACGACACUAACUGUUCUUUCAAGCAUAACCAUGUUCAAGAUUUACUGGUUAAACAUAAGAUUGAGUUGAUAAGAUUGAGAAAUAAUCAAUUAUGAAUGCUGAAUGGAUGUGGAGGGUAUACUAUUUUCAAUAAAUAUCAAUGAGUAAUCUAUGGUCUUCUACAAUUACCAAAAUUAUUAUACCACACAUCCCUCCAUCUAUGAUAUUGUUGUGAUCACUAAACCAGAACAAAUGUGAGCAA
rnacentral:lncRNA from 1 species